AUUGAACGCUGGCGGCAUGCCUUACACAUGCAAGUCGAACGGCAGCACGGGAGCUUGCUCCUGGUGGCGAGUGGCGAACGGGUGAGUAAUACCUCGGAACGUACCCAGUAGUGGGGGAUAACGCACCGAAAGGUUCGCUAAUACCGCAUACGACCUACGGGUGAAAGCGGGGGACCGUAAGGCCUCGCGCUAUUGGAGCGGCCGAUGUCUGAUCAGCUAGUUGGCGGGGUAAAAGCCCACCACGGCGACGAUCAGUAGCUGGUCUGAGAGGACGGUCAGCCACACUGGGACUGAGACGCGGCCCAGACGACUACGGGAGGCAGCAGUGGGGGAUUUUGGGCAAUGGGGGCAACCCUGAUCCAGCAAUGCCGCGUGUGCGAAGAAGGGCUUCGGGUUGUAAAGCACUUUUGUCAGGGAAGAAAUCUUUCAGGCUAAUACCCUUGGAAGGAUGACGGUACCUGAAGAAUAAGCACCGGCUAACUACGUGCCAGCCGCCGCAGUAA
rnacentral:rRNA from 1 species